GACGAACCGUGCAAACGUUGUUCGGAAUCACUGGGCUUAAAGGGCGCGUAGGCGGGCGACCAAGUCAGAGGUGAAAGCCCACGGCUCAACCGUGGAAGUGCCCCUGAUACUGGUUGUCUUGAGGGAGAUAGGGGCGUGCGGAACUUCCGGUGGAGCGGUGAAAUGCGUAGAGAUCGAAAAGAACACCAACGGCGAAAGCACUCUGUUGGGCCGACACUGACACUGAGAGACGAAAGCUAGGGGAGCGAAUGGG
rnacentral:rRNA from 1 species